UGAUUCUUUUUUUUUGUAGAAUGUUUAUUAUACCUCCUUCAACAUUUAGGGUUUCAUUACUAUUAUAAAUUCAUAAAUUCUUCUCAUGUCAGUGACCCUGAACUGGGGCACUUCUUAAAGUACAGAGUUAGGAAUAAAAUGUUUAACCCGUUUUGAAAGCUUUGUACACGUAAUAGGUGGAGACACUAAUUUGAGGGUAAAAGGCAGCCUUUGUUAUGUGUAGUAGGUUUUUAAUUAGGUUUUUAAUUAUAUUUCAUAUUUAGAAAGUAGGAUUUCCUUUUUUUUUUUUUUUUUGACAGGGAACAUAUGCUUCUAGGAUUUAUUCUGUUUCUAGAAUUUAUUAUUUCUAAGAUUUUUAUUCCACAUAUUCUCAUUUCCUGUUAGAGUUCUGUUUAGUCUUCACUUUGUAAACCCUUUUGCAUGUCCCUUUUUAUCAAACUUCAGUAGUUGAGUGUUGAGGCUGGAGAAUAGACCAACUGCUGACAAGCGUUUCCUCUUUAACACUGCAUUUUUAUACUUGGAAUAAUGUCCAUUGUAGAAUCAUACGGGGCUGCCAGCUAAAUGAGAUUUUGUUUAAACCAGAUUUUUUAAAAAUCCAGAAAAUUUAAAACUGAAAUGUAUUUUUCUUAUCUUCGUGAUCAGAUAGUUUAAGUUGAGGUUAUUUAAUGCAGUUAAAUUGUCAUGCUAAUGAAACAACUAGCUCUAAUCAAAUUAUAUAUUUUUAAAAGUGUUUUGUGAAAA
rnacentral:lncRNA from 1 species